ACGACUUUACCAUGCUGGAAGCAUCGGUUCUCGUCUGAUCACCGCAGUUAAGCAUCGGGCGUGGUCAGUACUUGGGAGGGGGAACA